rnacentral:rRNA from 1 species
AACACAUGCAAGUCGAACGGUAACAGGAAGCAGCUUGCUGUUUUUGCUGACGAGUGGCGGACGGGUGAGUAAUGUCUGGGAAACUGCCUGAUGGAGGGGGAUAACUACUGGAAACGGUAGCUAAUACCGCAUAACGUCGCAAGACCAAAGAGGGGGACCUUCGGGCCUCUUGCCAUCGGAUGUGCCCAGAUGGGAUUAGCUAGUAGGUGGGGUAACGGCUCACCUAGGCGACGAUCCCUAGCUGGUCUGAGAGGAUGACCAGCCACACUGGAACUGAGACACGGUCCAGACUCCUACGGGAGGCAGCAGUGGGGAAUAUUGCACAAUGGGCGCAAGCCUGAUGCAGCCAUGCCGCGUGUAUGAAGAAGGCCUUCGGGUUGUAAAGUACUUUCAGCGGGGAGGAAGGGAG